AACGAACGCUGGCGGCAGGCCUAACACAUGCAAGUCGAACGGGAUCUUCGGAUCUAGUGGCGGACGGGUGAGUAACGCGUGGGAACGUGCCCUUUGGUUCGGAAUAGCCCUGGGAAACUGGGAGUAAUACCGGAUACGGUCGAGAGACGAAAGAGUUAUCGCCGAAGGAUCGGCCCGCGUUGGAUUAGGUAGUUGGUGGGGUAAUGGCCUACCAAGCCGAUGGUCCAUAGCCGGUUUGAAAGGAUGAUUAGCCACACUGGGACUGAGACACGGCCCAGACUCCUACGGGAGGCAGCAGUGGGGAAUCUUAGACAAUGGGGGAAGCCCUGAUCUAGGCAUGCCGCGUGAGCGAUGAAGGCCUUAGGGUUGUAAAGCUCUUUCGUGGGGGAAGAUAAUGACUGUACCCCAAGAAGAAGCCCCGGCUAACUCCGUGCCAGCCGCCGCCGUAACAC
rnacentral:rRNA from 1 species